rnacentral:Y_RNA from 1 species
GGCUGGUCUGAGUGUAGGGACGUUUACAACUACGUGAUCACAACCAGUUACAAACGUCUUUGUUCCUUCUCUAAACCCAUUGCUUCACUUGACUUGACUAGCCUUAA